rnacentral:rRNA from 1 species
GAUGAACGCUGGCGGCGUGCUUAACACAUGCAAGUCGAACGGGAAUUACUUUAUUGAAACUUCGGUCGAUUUAAUUUAAUUCUAGUGGCGGACGGGUGAGUAACGCGUGGGUAACCUGCCUUAUACAGGGGGAUAACAGUCAGAAAUGGCUGCUAAUACCGCAUAAGCGCACAGAGCUGCAUGGCUCGGUGUGAAAAACUCCGGUGGUAUAAGAUGGACCCGCGUUGGAUUAGCUUGUUGGUGGGGUAACGGCCCACCAAGGCGACGAUCCAUAGCCGGCCUGAGAGGGUGAACGGCCACAUUGGGACUGAGACACGGCCCAGACUCCUACGGGAGGCAGCAGUGGGGAAUAUUGCACAAUGGGGGAAACCCUGAUGCAGCGACGCCGCGUGAAGGAAGAAGUAUCUCGGUAUGUAAACUUCUAUCAGCAGGGAAGAUAGUGACGGUACCUGACUAAGAAGCCCC